AUUGAACGCUGGCGGAAUGCUUUACACAUGCAAGUCGAACGGCAGCACGGACUUCGGUCUGGUGGCGAGUGGCGAACGGGUGAGUAAUACAUCGGAACGUGCCCAGUCGGGGGGGAUAACGUAGCGAAAGCUACGCUAAUACCGCAUACGAUCUAAGGAUGAAAGCGGGGGAUCGCACGACCUCGCACGAUUGGAGCGGCCGGUGGCAGAUUAGCUAGGUGGUGGGGUAAAGGCUCACCAAGCCGACGAUUUGUAGCUGGUCUGAGAGGACGACCAGCCACACUGGGACUGAGACACGGCCCAGACUCCUACGGGAGGCAGCAGUGGGGAAUUUUGGACAAUGGGCGAAAGCCUGAUCCAGCCAUUCCGCGUGCAGGAUGAAGGCCCUCGGGUUGUAAACUGCUUUUGUACGGAACGAAAAGGCUCUGGUUAAUACCUGGGGCUCAUGACGGUACCGUAAGAAUAAGCACCGGCUAACUACGUGCCAGCCGCCGCCGUAA
rnacentral:rRNA from 1 species